GACGAACGCUGGCGGCGUGCCUAAUACAUGCAAGUCGAACGCAGUGGGGACGGGUGAGUAACACGUGGGUAACCUCCCAGCAGAGGGGAUAACACUUGGAAACAGGAGCGAAAACGAUACUGCUGUAUGAACAGCCUGUGCAUUAGCUAGGUGGUGAGGGAACGGCUCCCAAAGGCCACGAGGCAUAGCCCAGCUGUGAUUGUGAUCGGCCACCCUGGGACUGCGACACGUCCCAUACUCCUACGUGAGGCAGCAGUAGGGAAGAUUCGGCAAUGGACGAAAGUCUUACCGAGCAACGCCGCGUGAGUGAAGAAUGUUUUCGGAUCUUAAAACUCUGUUGUUAGAGAAGCGGUAGCUAACCAGAAAGCCACGGCUAACUACGUGCCAGCAGCCGCGGUAAUUC
rnacentral:rRNA from 1 species